rnacentral:tRNA from 1 species
GGUGGCUAAGUGGUAGAGCGCUUGCCUUGCGUGCACGAGGCCCUGGGUUCGAUUCCUCAGCACCA